rnacentral:rRNA from 1 species
GCUAAGCCCUAAACAUUGAUAGUAAUUAUUACAAUACUUUCCGCCAGAGAACUACAAGUGAAAAACUUGAAACUCAAAGGACUUGACGGUGUCCCAUAUCGACCUAGAGGAGCCUGUCCUAUAAUCGAUACCCCCCGUUCCACCCAACCCCAACUAGCAAAAUAUCAGCCUAUAUACCGCCGUCGACAGUCUACCCCAUGAGGGUUCAACAGUAGACACAAUAGCCUUAACGCUAAUACGUCAGGUCAAGGUGUAGCAAAUGUUGAGGAAAAGAUUGGCUACAUUUUUUAUAAUAAAAAACACGAAUUGCACUAUGAAACACUGCAUGAAGGUGAAUUUAGUAGUAAAACAGACAAGAGUGUCUGUUUUAACAACGCUCUGGGACGCGU